rnacentral:lncRNA from 1 species
AUCUAAACAUCUACAUACACAAUCAAAAAAAAAAAAAUCUCACCCCCAGCUAAAUUUAUUUCCAGCUAAGUUUAUUUCUAAAUAAAAUAAACGAAGCAGGUUGCGUGCUAUCUAUCUCUCAAAAAAAUAUAUAUAUAUAUAUAUAUCAUACAUCUCAUUUAUCUAACGAUAAGUAUUUUUUAUUUAUCACAUAAUAUGAUAAAUAAAUAAAUAAAUAAAUCUCACCUCGAGAAAUGGAGGGUAUGCGUAGCUUUUUCUUUUUUUGGAAAAAUUUUAAAUACCACCCAUAUAGUUUCAUACUUUCUCACUUUAUAUUCUGUAGUUUAAAGUAUAUUAAUUUGAUAUACAGUGGUUUCAUUUUUAUUUUUUUAUUAUCGAUUUUACUAAUUUUUUUCGUUAAAUCAGUGAUAAAGUUAAAACUAAAAGGUACUGAAGUGAAUAUUCGAUAAACCUAGAUAAAGUAUCGAUAUGAAGUUUUUUGUUUAUAAUUUAACGAAAUAUUAAUGAAGAAACUGAUGAAAAGAUAAAAAUAAAAUUACAGAAUAUUAACUUAGUACAUUUUAAACUACAUUGCACUAAAAUAAAACAGUGCAAAACCGCAUUAGUGGUAUCUGAAGUUAACUUUUUUUUUUUAUUUUUUCUCCUCAAUUAAUCAUUAGUCCUGGACAU